UAGUUCAAAAGCUGUGAAAAUAAAAUAGUGAAUUGAGUUUAAAUUAACCAGAAAAGAUAUAAACGUAAUCUCUGGGAUUCAACUUGUAAGGAUGUUCCAAGAACCACUUAGUUGGAGAAGGAAAACUGUGCCGUUCAUUAACAUGUCCGGUGCUUUAUAAUAUAUUUAAAGAUGGUAAGGACGUGAAGAAAACAGGUUUGUAAAUGAUGUUGUACAUCAUGCAGAUAGCUCAGAAGAAGAAGCAGGAAUGUUUGACUGGAAAUAUAAACGAUGUUGUACAUAAUGCAGAUAGCUAAGGCAAAAAAGAGAUUAGUGAAAUGGAGAAUGAGACUAACUACGGUGAAAAAAUAAUGAAUAUCAAAAUGUGAAUGGUACUUUGUUUGACAUCUACCUGUUUCUACAGACACAGUGUAGUCGCACUUAUAAAUGGG